UUUGACCUCAAAUCAGGUAGGACUACCCGCUGAACUUAAGCAU
rnacentral:rRNA from 1 species